AGGCUUGAGCCACCGCGCCCGGCCAACGCAACAUGUUAAUAGUGGUUGAUGGUCCAGGGCUACCACCAAGCCCUGGAGAGCAGUGGCUUCUGGUCCUUAAACAAGGAGGACACGUCAGAACAAGUCAUGCCUGUUUUGGUAAAGAACUGGAAGAAGAAAUGCACCAAGUCUAGGAAGGGUCACGGGCAUCAGCGGUCCAGGGAAGGAAGCAAAGCAAAUGGAGAAUGACAUGCUGGUGACAGACAGUGCGGGGAAGCAACUACAGAAACAGCUCAGCAGCUCCUCCUCCUGUAGUGGGGACAUCAGCAGGCACCACAGCAGCACCACAGAGCUGCAGAAAGCCGAAGCCAAGAAGGAGGAGACUUGGAAGAUGAUGGAGGCUGAGAAGGCACAGACAGGGCAGAUUCCACUUAUGCAGGGCUCCAUGGCAGUUUCCAGUAAUCUUCAAAUCUUCAGUCUAUGA
rnacentral:lncRNA from 1 species